rnacentral:rRNA from 1 species
GAUGAACGCUAGCGGUGUACUUUAGGUAUGCAAGUCGAACGGUCCGGGUUUACUCGGACAGUGGCAGACGGGUGAGUAACGCGUUGGUACUCGCCCUCUGGUGUGGAAUAGCCUGCUGAAAGGUGGGGUAAUACCGCAUAAGUCCGACCUAGUCGGAUAAAGGGCAUAACUGCCCGCCGGAGGAGAGGCCUGCGUCCUAUCAGCUUGUUGGUGAGGUAAUGGCUCACCAAGGCGAUGACGGGUAGCUGGUGUGAGAGCACGAUCAGCCACAGGGUCACUGAGACACGGGGCCCACACCUACGGGUGGCAGCAACCAGGAAUAUUGCGCAAUGGGCGAAAGCCUGACGCAGUGACACCGCGUGAAGGAUGAAGGCUUUCGGGUCGUAAACUUCUUUUCUAAAGGAAGAUAAUGACGGUACUUUAGGAAUAAGCACCUGCAAACUACGUGCCAGCAGCCGCGGUAAUACGUAGGGUGCGAGCGUUAUCCGGAUUUACUGGGCGUAAAGAGUUUCGUAGGCGUCUUUCUGCAUCUUGUUUUAAAUCCCAAGGCUUAACCUUGGAAAAGAACAAGAGAUGGGUAAGAUAGAACUAGGUUGGGGGUGCUGGAACUCCCGGUGGAGGGGUGAAAUCCGUUGAUAUCGGGAAGAACACCAAGGGCGAAGGCAGGCACCUAGGCCUUAGUUGACGCUGAUGAACGAAAGCUAGGGUAGCAAAAGGGAUUAGAGACCCCUGUAGUCCUAGCCGUAAACGAUCCCUACUAGUUGCCCCGAUUUAUAUUGGGGUGGCGUAAGCUAACGCGUUAAGUAGGGCGCCUGGGGAGUACGGCCGCAAGGCUAAAACUCAAAGGAAUUGACGGGGAUCUGCACAACCAGGGGAGCAUGUGGUUCAAUUCGAUACGAAGCGUAGGACCUUACCUGGGCUUGACAUGCUACUGCAUACUUUGGGAAACCAGAGUAGCCUUAGAGGGUGUAGCACAGCUGCUGCAUGGCUGUCGUCAGCUCUAGUCGUGAGAUGUUCCCUUAAGUGGGGUAUAGAGCGCAACCCUUACUCCGUGUUAUAUAUCACGGAGAACUGCCUCAGUUUUACUGGGGAGGAAGGAGAGGAUGACGUCAAGUCAGCACGGCGCUUACGUCCAGGGCGACACACAUCCUACAAUCCCUACUACAACGAGUUGCGAAAGAGUAAUCUGGAGCUAAUCUCUUAAAAGUAGGGUCAGUUCAGAUUGUGGGCUGAAACCCGCCCACAUGAAGCCGGAAUUGGUAGUAAUCGCGGGUCAGCAGACCGCGGUGAAUACGUUCUCAGAUCUUGUACACACUGCCCGUCAAGCGAGGAAAGUUGGGGGUACCCGAAGCCGUUUUUCCAACC